rnacentral:rRNA from 1 species
UACGGGGGGGGGCAAGCGUUUGUUCGGAAUUACUGGGCGUAAAGGGUGCGUAGGCGGCGCGGUAAGUCGGGUGUGAAAUCUCGGAGCUUAACUCCGAAACUGCAUUCGAUACUGCCGUGCUUGAGGACUGGAGAGGAGACUGGAAUUUACGGUGUAGCGGUGAAAUGCGUAGAUAUCGUAAGGAAGACCAGUGGCGAAGGCGGGUCUCUGGACAGUUCCUGACGCUGAGGCACGAAGGUCAGGGGAGCAAACGGG